CAAAGGUGAGAGUGGUGAUCCAGGUCCUCAGGGCCCUCGAGGCGUCCAGGGUCCCCCUGGUCCAACGGGAAAACCUGGAAAAAGGGGUCGUCCAGGUGCAGAUGGAGGAAGAGGAAUGCCAGGAGAACCUGGGGCAAAGGGAGAUCGAGGGUUUGAUGGACUUCCGGGUCUGCCAGGUGACAAAGGUCACAGGGGUGAACGAGGACCUCAAGGUCCUCCAGGUCCUCCUGGUGAUGAUGGAAUGAGGGGAGAAGAUGGAGAAAUUGGACCAAGAGGUCUUCCAGGUGAAGCUGGCCCACGAGGUUUGCUGGGUCCAAGGGGAACUCCAGGAGCUCCAGGGCAGCCUGGUAUGGCAGGUGUAGAUGGCCCCCCAGGACCAAAAGGGAACAUGGGUCCCCAAGGGGAGCCUGGGCCUCCAGGUCAACAAGGGAAUCCAGGACCUCAGGGUCUUCCUGGUCCACAAGGCCCAAUUGGUCCUCCUGGUGAAAAAAUGUGCUGCAAUCUAAGUUUCGGAAUACUUAUACCACUCCGGAAAUAAUCCUCGUGUUAAUAUUCAGUCCAUGUUUCCACCCCCUCAGACCUAGCUAACAAUUAAUUUGCUUUCUGUCUCUGUAGAUUUGAGUUUUCUGAAUAUUUCAUAUGAAUGAAACUUAUGAAUAAAUUUAUGAUUUAAUCAUA
rnacentral:sRNA from 1 species